CGAGAAUCCUGGCAGCAGAUUGAGUUGUCCUGUCGGUUUAGCGCGUGUCUGCUCUUUCACAGCUGUGAUUGAUAUGAAAUACAGACACUGGAAGGAUAAAGGGCUGGUGAAAGAGAGAGAGAGAGGAGAAAAAGCGAUUCAGAAGAAAUUCCACAGGCACAGGGAGGCGUGACAAACACUAUUAUUUUCUCUCAAGGUCGAACCUGGGAGAAGAGGUUUACCCAAGGAUUCCUCAGACCAUUCCCAUUUCCUCGCGUCUUUGUGAUGGAUCGAUAUCAUUCAGUACACUUUGCUUUCAUUGUGUGCACACACUUGCUUUUAUUCAUUGUCAGAACAUAAUGUCAUUCAUACAGCUCAUAUAUAGAUAUAUACAGAUCUGGAAAAAAAAUAAAAGAUCUUAAAAAUGA